rnacentral:rRNA from 1 species
CAGUCGCCGCGGGAAUACGAAGGGUGCAAGCGUUACUCGGAAUUACUGGGCGUAAAGCGUGCGUAGGUGGUGGUUUAAGUCCGUUGUGAAAGCCCUGGGCUCAACCUGGGAAUUGCAGUGGAUACUGGGUCACUAGAGUGUGGUAGAGGAUAGUGGAAUUUCCGGUGUAGCAGUGAAAUGCGUAGAGAUCGGAAGGAACAUCUGUGGCGAAGGCGACUAUCUGGGCCAACACUGACACUGAGGCACGAAAGCGUGGGGAGCAAACAGGAUUAGAUACCCCGGUAGUCCAUGUCUCUUAUAC